GAAGGCGCCCGCGCCCAGCUGGGUCAGGUUGUUGUAGCUGAGGUCCAGGAAAGCCAGCUUGGCCGAGCCGCUGAACGUGCCCUCCUCCAGCGAGCGCAGCGAGUUAUUCCUGAAGUCCAGGUACAUGCAGUCUCGAUGCCUUCAGAUGGAUCAAAAACCUGAGCCUCUGGGACGGAGCCAACAGCUCAACAGAUGACAGCAGCAGUGGCCACGGUAGCCAAACCGUGGAAGGAACCAAGAUGCCCUUCAACGGA